rnacentral:rRNA from 1 species
GACAGAGGGUGCAAACGUUGCUCGGAAUCACUGGGCGUAAAGGGCGUGUAGGCGGGAAUGUAAGUCGAGCGUGAAAUCCCUAGGCUCAACCUAGGAACUGCACUCGAAACUGCGUUUCUUGAGUGCCGGAGAGGAAAGCGGAAUUCCUGGAUGUAGCGGUGGAAUGACGCAGAUAUCAGGAGGAACACCAAUAGCGAAGGCAGCUCGCUGGGACGGUAUUGACGCUGGAGGCGACGAAAGCGUGGGGAGCAAACAGGAUUGAGAA